rnacentral:rRNA from 1 species
UACAGAGGUGGCAAGCGUUGUUCGGAAUUACUGGGCGUAAAGGGCGAGUAGGCGGCCUUCUAAGUCAUACGUGAAAUCCCUCAGCUUAACUGGGGAACUGCGUCUGAUACUGGUUGGCUUGAGUGCAGGAGAGGAACGCGGAAUUCCCGGUGUAGAGGUGAAAUUCGUAGAUAUCGGGAGGAACACCAGUGGCGAAGGCGGCGACCUGGACCGAUACUGACGCUGAGACGCGAAAGCGUGGGGAGCAAACAGG